GACGAACGCUGGCGGCGCGCUUAAUACAUGCAAGUCGAGCGAGAACCAGAGCUUCGGCUCUGGGGACAGCGGCGAACGGGUGAGUAACACGUGAGUAAUCUGCCCUCGGCACCGGGAUAGCCCGGGGAAACCCGGAUUAAUACCCGAUGGCCUCUCGAGCUUUCGGGCUCGUGAGAAAAGGUAGCUUCGGCCUCCGGCCGAGGAGGAGCUCGCGGCGGAUUAGCUUGUUGGUGGGGUAACGGCUCACCAAGGCGACGAUCCGUAGCUGGUCUGAGAGGACGAUCAGCCACACUGGGACUGAGACACGGCCCAGACUCCUACGGGAGGCAGCAGUAGGGAAUCUUGCGCAAUGGGCGAAAGCCUGACGCAGCGACGCCGCGUGCGGGAAGAAGGCCUUCGGGUUGUAAACCGCUUUCAGGAGGGACGAAGCCACUCGGGUUAAUAGCCCAGAGGGUGACGGUACCUCCAGAAGAAGCCCCGGCUAACUACGUGCCAGCAGCCGCCGUAACAC
rnacentral:rRNA from 1 species